UUGGAGAACAAAAAUAAAUAAUAGUAUGGUAUAUAGUCAGAUUUUCAUUACUAAGAUUGUAUGUGUGAGAGAAGUAAAGUAGAUGAGAAUAGAAAGAAGUAUAAGAUAGUGUUUGAAAAGAAAAAAUAGAGGACAUGAACUUAGCUGUGACAAGUACACUGGCACAGAAUUUAGAGAUUAAGAUGGUGGAGAGUUCUAAUUAGGAAAUUAAGAGGGGGCUAAGGAUAAGAUGAAGAAAAACAAAGGAAUAAGAAGGGAAGUAUAUGAGACGUGGGUGAAAGUAGAGAUAGCAUUACAGUGAACGCUAUUGAGAAGCCACAGCAAUACUAAAACCUAACUGAGCUAUAGAUAGACAGAAGAUAAGCCAUCAUGAGAGGUAUGGAAGAGUUAAUAUUAAAUAACAGAAAAGACGAAAUUUAAAGAAUACUUAUGGAAGAAGUUGAUGGUGCUGCUAUACUGUCCAAACGGAGAAGUUCUCAGAUUCUAGAGUCAAAAAGAACCCACUUGGUGCUAUGUGGAAGGGGAGAAUGGAAACCACAGGUCUCUAAAGUUUCUGAGCAGUUCUGACAUGGGGAGAAGAGGAGGAUAAAAUCCUUUCCUGGUAAUUCUGAGAGGACAGAGUUAGCCAGAGACAGGCUGACUCCACGACAGCCUGCAAAGCAGCAGUUUGGGAGACGAGGCUUAGUUUCUGUUUCUCAGAACUGGAAAAGUCCAAAACAAGUCAAUUCCAGAAGAAAAAAAAAGCAAACAAACAAAACAACAACAAAAACAUCCCUCACGGGCAGCUAAUCAGGAAGCUGCCCCACCACCUAGCCUGAGCCAUCUUCAAGGGUAGCCAAUCAGGAGCUGUAGAAGCUAUCUCAUCAUCUAGCUUGAAUCCAAGUAUAGUUAAUCAGCAAAAGUCCUCAAAAUCCACCAAAGCUUUAACCAAUCACAAAGGCACUUAUAGCCCUGGAGAUAGAACCAACCAAUCAAGGGAAAGAAAGGUAGAAGUCAUCCUAAGAGGCUAUAAAUUGAUCCUGCAAAGUUGACACCCCUUUAUUCCAUCCAGAUGUAUGGUAGACCACUGCAUGCAGCUUCUAGUAUUGCUGUUGCAUACUAUUUGAGUCUGGGGUAUCAUUCUUCGCAAGUCAUGGAGCCUUACAGUUACUUUGGAGCCCUGCUUCUAUCUCACCCUCUUCUGGUCCUGCAGGUAUGGUGUCUGUAAGGAACAGCACUUACCGUGCAAUUUCUAAUGCUUUUCUCUAUUCUCUAGGCAACUUGAUUCCUCUGCAUGGUUCCAUUUAAGAAGACUACAGUCCUAAGAUUCUCAGUGUUCCCACCUGCCUACCUGUGGGGAUCUUGCCUAACUUAUUACAUUUAUUGUUUCUUGCAAGAAAAAGAACGUACUUCUUUUGCUUUUUUCUUUUAUAUUUCUUAGACUAUAUUCUCUCAUUGGGUGCCAAUGGUGAUUCUUCUAAUCUGCCUUAUUACCCAGAUGUCUCCUCUUCUGAUCCUACUUUUGCCAGAUCUUAAAAUACUCUCCCCUCAUUCAACUUAGGGUACAUAAUAACUUAAAACUGCAACCGAUCCCUAAGCAUGGCCUUCUUUGUCUUCUCUAAGAUCACUCAAUGAGGUAACAAGCAAGAGUGCGGGUGCUCAUAAGUUCAUCAGUCCAAAUGCAAUACUUUGUGUUUUCUCAAACUCAAAGCUCAUUUAUUUUUUGCCUUUCAAAAUGAAAACCCUGUCUUCAAGUCCAUAUAAUUUCAUCCCUAAUAAAGAUUCCUUCUCUUACAUUGUUUUCCUUUGUGAAUUCUUUAAUGAAUGGACCCAUGGGCUCUGGGCCAGAAGGUAGUUGCUUAGUUAAAUUAAUGUUUUAUAUGUCCUCUCAAACACUUUCUAUCAUUUUGAGCAUUACUAUCCCCAUUUAAAAAAUGAGAAAACCAAGGAACAGUAAAGACUUAUGGUUUAUAAGAUGCAAUGUCAAUAUUUAGACAUAAUUAUGAUCAUUUUUCAUCCUUUUCCUGGACUUGCAUGAUCUGGGACUUGUAUUCUCAACACAAUAAAGGGACUGAUCACGAGGUACCCACUAACCUUAUUGCAUAGUUUCUUGUCUGGAGGCUAUUUUAUUACCCCAGGAGGAGACAUCUAGACAUCUAGAGAGAAAGAGAGGGACUUUUAGCACCUAGUACUGAGAGGCCAGAGAUGACAGUAAAUGUCUUCUGAUACACACAGCUGUCUCCAGGAACAAGGAAUUAUACCACUAAAAAGUGCUAAGAUAGAGGCAGGAAAGUCUGCCUGGCAAAGUGCCUACACAGGAUGAUAGUGUAUAUUCAGCCUAGGCGACUAGGAAGCUCCAUUUGAAUGUAGCAGUACAGUUGAAAAUAAAUCAUGAAUCAAAAGAUUUAUUCUAGUUCCAGAAUGGUUGAUGAUCUUAUAAAAACAAACCUUGAUUAUCUCAACAGUAUUGCUUCUAUUUUCUAUUGACUGUGCUCCCAAUGGUGGGCAUGUGUGUGUGUGUGUGUGUGUGUGUGUGUGUGUGUGUGUGUGUCCAUGUCUGUCUGUAUGUGUGUCUGUUAUAUCAGUGUGUGUGUGUGUGUGUAUGUAUCUGUGUCUGUCUGUGUGUAUUUGUGUGUAUGUCUGUCUGUGUGUGUGUCUGUGUCUGUGUAUGUCUCUGUAUGUCUGUGUCUCUGUGUGUCUGUUUGUAUCUGUGUCUGUCCCUGUCUGUGUGGUGGUAUAUGCACAUGAGUACAGAUGCCCGUGGAUAUCAGAAGAGGACAUCAGACUGGAUACCCUGAAGCUGGAGUUACAAGUGGUUUCCGUGGGAGCAUGGAGCAUGGAGCAUGGAGCAUGGAGCAUGGAGCAUGGAGCAUGGAGCAUGGAGCAUGGAGCAUGGAGCAUGGAGCAUGGAGCAUGGAGCAUGGAGCAUGGAGCAUGGAGCAUGGAGCAUGGAGCAUGGAGCAUGGAGCAUGGGCAUCCUAAUGGUUUCUGGCCUCAGCACAGACCACAAACAUGGCUGCUGGUUACAGUAGGGCCACAGACCUCAGAGGCAGCACAGGUGCCUCAUAUCAAUAUGUCUCCUGGUAGCAGCACAGCCCUCAGACAUCAGAUGGCCUCAUGCUGCACCACAGACCAUGGAUCUCCUCUUGGCAUUUGGUGGUAACAUGAACACAGACGCCAGCUACAGUUGGACUAUGGACCUGACAUGGCCCUAGGAAGUAGCAUGGGCCUGGACAUCACCAUGGCCUCCAGUAGCAGUGCCGGUCACUCAGAUCAGUAUGGCCUCCAGUGGUCCCGUGGCCCAUGGACAUCAACAUGGAUUCAGGUGGCAGCAGAGACCAUGAACAUCUACAUGACCUUUGAGGACCCCAUGGGCCAUGAAGAUCAACACAGACCCUGGCAAUGGUACCAAUGGCUGUGCAACAGCUCAUUUUCGUCAAAUAAAGACAUAAACCCAACACAGCUCGCCCAGGACUGGGAGGAAAAGGUGCUGGAACCCGGGACCCAAGCCCUGAGCGGG
rnacentral:lncRNA from 1 species